rnacentral:rRNA from 1 species
GAUGAACGCUGGCGGCGUGCCUAAUACAUGCAAGUCGAGCGAACAGACGAGGAGCUUGCGCCUCGGACGUUAGCGGCGGGCGGGUGAGUAACGCGUGUAUAACCUACCUAUAAGACGGGGAUAACUACGGAAAACCGGAGCUAAUACCGUAUAAUAUAUUGAACCACAUGGGGCAAUAGUGAAAGACGGUGUUGCUGUCACGUAUCGAGGCAUCCGCGCCGCAUUGGCUAGUUGGGAAGGUCACGGCUUACCAAGGCAAGGAUGCGUAGCCGACCUGAGAGGGUGAUCGGCCACCCUGGAACUGGGACACGGUCAAGACUCCUACGGGAGGCAGCAGUAGGCAAUGUUACGCAAUGGGGGAAAGCAUUACGGAGCAAGGCCGCGUGAGUGACGACGGUCUUGGGAUCGUAAAAAUCUGCUAUUAGGGAAGAACAAAUGUGUACGUAACCAUGCCCGGAUUGACGGUACCUAAUAAGAAAGCAACGGCUAACUACGUG